UACGGGGGGGGCAAGCGUUGCUCGGAAUUACUGGGCGUAAAGGGCGCGUAGGCGGCUUUGCAAGUGACGGGUGAAAUCCCUCGGCUUAACCGAGGAACUGCCUGUCAAACUGCAUGGCUUGAGACCGGGAGAGGUGAGUGGAAUUCCCAGUGUAGCGGUGAAAUGCGUAGAUAUUGGGAGGAACACCAGUGGCGAAGGCGGCUCACUGGACCGGUACUGACGCUGAUGCGCGAAAGCGUGGGGAGCAAACAGG
rnacentral:rRNA from 1 species